ensembl:rRNA 5S_rRNA 5S ribosomal RNA
AGCCACAGCCAUAUCACCCUGCAACCCAAGAACAGUUACUCACUGAAGUGAACCAGGUCUGAGCCUGGUCAGUACCUGGAUGGUAGACCACAUGGGAAAACCAGGUUGCUUUUGGAA